GUCUCUGUGGCGCAAUCGGUUAGCGCGUUCGGCUGUUAACUGAAAGGUUUGUGGUUCAAGCCCACCCAGGGACG
rfam:Danio rerio chromosome 4, GRCz11 reference primary assembly.